ACCAUGUUAGCUUUGGAAACCAAAUGGAAAAAACUCUAGCUAAGGCACCUCUUCCACUUGUAGUUUUCUAAGUAAAUCGUGAUUGGAAGAAACUACAACACUG
rnacentral:snoRNA from 1 species